UGCGUAGGGACCAAGCGUUGUUCGGAUUUACUGGGCGUAAAGGGCGCGUAGGCGGCGUGUUAAGUCAGCUGUGAAAUCUCCGAGCUUAACUCGGAACGGUCAGCUGAUACUGAUGUGCUAGAGUGCAGAAGGGGCAAUCGGAAUUCUUGGUGUAGCGGUGAAAUGCGUAGAUAUCAGGAGGAACACCGGUGGCGAAGGCGGGUCUCUGGGCCGAUACUGACGCUGAGGAGCGAAAGCGUGGGGAGCGAACAGG
rnacentral:rRNA from 1 species